rnacentral:lncRNA from 1 species
CAAGAACUGAGCCCUGCCCUGCAGCUUUAAGAGGUCAGGGAGUGAGGAGGAGCCAGCAAAGAUGGGAGUGGGGGAAGUAAGGGCUGGUGAGGUGGAAGGGAAGCCUGGAGAGUGUAGGACCUUCAAGGGCAAGUGAAGAAGGUGCUUCAAGGAGGAGAGACUGAUCACCUGCAUAAUCACUGCUGAAAGGCUUCUGGGUCGAGAAAGGCCAAGUUGCACACUACUGAGAGACUGCCAUGCACCCCCUGGAGGCCUCAGAACAUUCGACAUGCUUCAGUCAUGGCCACGGCAGUGACUGCUGAUUGCCUAACCCCACAUGUGUUCUCCCCCUUCCCUGAUAAUCAAGCCCCUGAUUUUCAGCUGGGCACAAAAUAAUUCUUCCUAGAACAACUCCAUGUGUGUUAUCGCCCUUGCAGCUGGGGGUGGCCACCACUGGGGAGAGGCAGGGUGAAGAGGUGGAAGGAGCCUGAGUUAGCAGGGAUGAGCAGUGGCCAGGUAACCCCAGACCCACUAUCC